AGGGAGCCUGAAAAACGGCUACCACAUCUAAGGAAGGCAUCCGCGCGCAAAUUACCCAAUCCUGACACAGGGAGGUAGUGACAAGAAAUAACAAUACGGGGCUUAAUGUCUUGUAAUUGGAAUGAUGGGCAUUUAAACCUCUUCCAGAGUAUCAAUUGGAGGGCAAGUCUGGUGCCAGCAGCCGCGGUAAUUCCAGCUCCAAUAGCGUAUAUUAAAAUUGUUGCAGUUAAAAAGCUCGUAGUUGAAUUUCUGCUGCAUUUCAUUUCUCUUUCUGAGUUUGUUUUUGCGGCUUAUUUCGGUUUGAUUUUUUCUUUCCGGAUGAUUACUUUGAGAAAAUUAGAGUGCUCAAAGCAGGCUUUUGCCUUGAAUAGUUUAGCAUGGAAUAAUAAAGUAGGACUUUGGUUCUAUUUUGUUGGUUUUAGGUACCAAAGUAAUGGUUAAUAGGAACAGUUGGGGGCAUUCGUAUUUAACUGUCAGAGGUGAAAUUCUUAGAUUUGUUAAAGACGAACUACUGCGAAAGCAUUUGCCAAGGAUGUUUUCAUUAAUCAAGAACGAAAGUUAGGGGAUCGAAGACGAUCAGAUACCGUCGUAGUCCUAACCAUAAACUAUGCCGACUAGAGAUUGGAGGUCGUCAGUUUUUACGACUCCUUCAGCACCUUGAGAGAAAUCAAAGUCUUUGGGUUCUGAGGGGAGUAUGGUCGCAAGGCUGAAACUUAAAGGAAUUGACGGAAGGGCACCACCAGGCGUGGAGCCUGCGGCUUAAUUUGACUCCACACGGGGAAACUC
rnacentral:rRNA from 1 species